UGUUUAUCGAUUUUUAAGUCCUUUCAGUCAAAGGGUUCUUCUUACAUUGCAAGAGAAGAAAAUUCCUCUUUCUAACAAAAACCCAAAUGGUAUGAUGUAUUCUAAAUGUUUGCGGUUUGAACUGAACUAAAACUGAAAUAAGGGUGUGUAAUGUACCAAUUGUUGAUUAUGUUUUUGGUGAUUAAUCCAAAUGGGUACCAGUAGUCAAAUUUUAUGGUAAAUAAAAUGGGUACCUGAUUCUGAUGUUAUUACUCAAAUUCUUUGAGAAGAAUUACCCAAAACCAUCUCUUGUUAUUCCGCCUCAAUACGCCUCACUGUAAUCUCUCUGAUGUUCAUUUAAUAGCUUAGUCUGUAUGUUUUGAUUAUGAAUUGUUGAUCAGCCCCAUUGUUACUUGAAAAUGGAAUUAUGAUUUUCGUGAUUCUCAUUGUAUGUAUCCUGCAUAUUCAGAACUAUUCAUUUGUCUUGAUCAGAAGAACUAUUCAUUUGUCAUGUAAGUCAUUUACAUGGACUAAAUUCUGGAAUCUGCCAUGAAGGAUUAAUGUAUGUUUGGUUGUUAUCUCAUUGUCAUGAACUUAUCAGAAACCUUCUUAGUCAGUUGUUGUGUCUUGGUUUAAGUUAGUGGAAGCAUCAAACUAAGCAGUUGUUUUCUAUAGCAAAUGCUGUUCACAUGUGCAUAUUGCCGAUGGAGAAUAUAAAAAUGCAAUUGAAAGUGGUAGUCGAAAUGAAUCACCUCAUUGUUCAGAAACUAUCCAUGCCAAACCUGAUGGUAAGUGAAUCACCUCAUUUUUCUUGUGGUCAAAGGAGUUCAGUAAAAAUAGUCAUUAUUCAGAAACUUGUUACCUGGAUCUGCAAGCUUUCUCAAAUGUUGGGAGAGUUCUAUUUAUCUUGUUAAUGUCCAUAAGCAUGAAAUUCACAAUGGGCAGCUGAGCUUUAGGGGAAACGUGUACUUGAGUUUCUCAACUAGGUGUCGUGUACUGUGGAAAUGAUCUACCUGUAUGUUGACUGUUACAGCACAAUUGCGGCUACGGACUAUCGGGGAUCUUAGCUUCCUUAAAGGGAGUUUCAGAGGUGCGUUUUCAGGAUCCGAAUGCGGAAACAGUAAGAUGUUCAACCAUACAUGAGUGUGCUUGCAAUCUCAUCCUUUAUUUUCUUGCAAAUCUAAUUACAGGCUACCAUAAUCUAAUUUCAAUGGGCUUGAUGUACACUGUAGUGAUUUAUUUUGUAUAUACUUGGGGGUUGAAUUUAUCAAUCAGGCACCAGUUUCUGUGAUAACUAACAUUAUUUAUGUUUCCAUUCCGUCAUUAACUACACCCAACCUAAUUGUUGCUACUUUUCCACCUCCGUGGGAAGGACAGUGAGCCAGUUACCUUGCAGGCUACAACCAGGAUUCAGACCAAUGAUUCUGUUGUUGAGUAGGAUUUUGACAUCUUGAGUUUGCACUUAAAGUGUGGUUAGUCGCACACUUAAUGCCUACUUCCACAGCUGCAUCAAUUUUCCAUUUGUUUUAUUCUGAUCCAGUUAGAUCUCAAGGUGCAUCUUUUCAGUCUGAUGAUAACAAUGGCAUUGAAAUAUAUUUAAGCUUUAUUCAGUACCCAACACUAGCUCAGUUGCAUUAACUCCGUAAACAGUCAUUACUACUAAUAGUCUAAAAUGGUUAUUGAUGUCUCAUUCUUUGUUUCUCACUAGCAUUUUUAAUUUCCCCAUACUUGGCAUCUUGAGAGAUCCUAGUGAAUAUUGCUCAGUUAAUGCUUUGCUCGUUUUUUGUCAACUGACAGCUCUCAUGUGAAAUAUCUUUUGUAGCUCUCCGAAGAGAUACAGAACAACAGCUUUUCACUAUUUUAGAACCUUAGGUCAUCAAUGGCUUGCAUAUAAAACCUCUGGUACAUCUGGUAAAGUAUCCUUAACUCACAGUGUCAUCAGCUGGACAUGCUUUGCUUGCUUUCAUACAUGGUCAGCUUCCAGGGGAAAAAGCUUUUGAAGCUGUCGGAGGAGAUACCCAAUAAUAGCCUUUCCCUGUUUUAAACCCAUAAGUCAUUUUGGCAUAUAUAGCCUCUGGUGCUUCUGGUCACUGUAGUAAUACUGUCAUUUCUUGAUGUUGUCAAAGAAUAAUAGGGUCUCUAGGGAUGAAGAUUCUGAUGUUGACUAUUUCCUAAGAAGUGAAGCAAGUCUGUGUUUGAUAAUCUCCCUGCUAGGAUUCAAUUGGCUUUACAUGAUCUAAAUCAAGUUCAAAUUGAGUUUGACAAUGACCCAUCUUAUUUUUCUAGAAAAAAUUCUAGUGUUUUAUGUUUUAACUGCUAUGACCAAGACAAUGCAGCUGGUAUACAGGUCAAUGUAACCUUUCCCAGCAACUCCAACCAUGAUAUGUAAAAAUGUACAAAACCAGUAGUAACUCUACCGUGUACAUUGUUUCUUCCUAUGCCGGUAAAAGAGAGAUGUCCAGUAGCGGAUCGGUAAUGAAGCAACUCCAACAAUGCUGAAUUCCCUCAUCUACAAACUCCCAUAGUACAGAUUAAGGACGACCGGAAUCAGUAAAAAAGAUUUUAAGCUUACACACCACUGGAUGGUAGUGUAGGGGAUUACAAACCAAAACCUCCAAGGAACAGGUCCAAGGAAAGACGGAUUUUUUUUCCUUUGACAUAAAAGCGGUGAAAGCCCAAUUCAUGAUAAAAGCGGUGA